rnacentral:lncRNA from 1 species
CUGGAGAGAAGGUUUUCUUUCAUGGCACACUCGCACCCACCCAGGAGCUAUCUUUGGAUCCUCAAUUCAAUCUCUCUCUCUCUCUCUCUCUCUCUCUCUCUCUCUCUGGAUCCUCAAUUCAAUCUCUCUCUCUCUCUCUCUCUCUCUCUCUCUCUCACACACACACACUCAUUAGAUUUUAUUUUAAGAUUUAUUUGUUUGUUUGUUUUAUAUGCAUACAUGCUCACUUUAUUCAAACACCUGAGAAGAGGGCAUCAGAGCCCAUUACAGAUGGUUGUGAGCCACCAUGUGGUUGCUGGGAAUUUUCAGGACCUCUGGAAGAGCAGUCAGUGCUCUUAGCCACUGAGCCAUCUCCAGCCCACAUUAGCUUAUUUUAAAAAUGCUUUUGCUACCUCAAAGGUCGGUCACUCUUGAGCCUUCCCUCGCUACCCAAGGCCCAAUCAGGGAAGUGGGAAGUGACCACCCACCUGAAUUCUCAUAUGCAUCAUUGGCUUGCUCUCUUCAGCUCUCCUCUCCCGUAUCCC